CUACGGGUGGCAGCAGUGGGGAAUAUUGGACAAUGGGGGAAACCCUGAUCCAGCAAUGCCGCGUGUGUGAAGAAGGCCUGCGGGUUGUAAAGCACUUUCGGUUGGGAGGACUGCUUCUAGCACUAAUAUUGUUGGAAGUUGACGUUACCUUCAGAAGAAGCACCGGCUAACUCAGUGCCAGCAGCCGCGGUAAUACGGGGGGUGCAAGCGUUAAUCGGAAUUACUGGGCGUAAAGCGCGCGUAGGCGGCUAGAUCAGUCGGGUGUGAAGCCCCGGGCUUAACCUGGGAACUGCAUCCGAUACUGUCUAGCUUGAGUACAGGAGAGGAGAGUGGAAUUCCACAUGUAGCGGUGAAAUGCGUAGAUAUGUGGAGGAACACCAAUGGCGAAGGCAGCUCUCUGGCCUGAUACUGACGCUGAGGUGCGAAAGCGUGGGGAGCAAACAGGAUUAGAUACCCUCGUAGUC
rnacentral:rRNA from 1 species